ACUCCUACGGGAGGCAGCAGUGGGGAAUAUUGCACAAUGGGCGCAAGCCUGAUGCAGCCAUGCCGCGUGUAUGAAGAAGGCCUUCGGGUUGUAAAGUACUUUCAGCGGGGAGGAAGGCGAUAAGGUUAAUAACCUUGUCGAUUGACGUUACCCGCAGAAGAAGCACCGGCUAACUCCGUGCCAGCAGCCGCGGUAAUACGGAGGGUGCAAGCGUUAAUCGGAAUUACUGGGCGUAAAGCGCACGCAGGCGGUCUGUCAAGUCGGAUGUGAAAUCCCCGGGCUCAACCUGGGAACUGCAUUCGAAACUGGCAGGCUAGAGUCUUGUAGAGGGGGGUAGAAUUCCAGGUGUAGCGGUGAAAUGCGUAGAGAUCUGGAGGAAUACCGGUGGCGAAGGCGGCCCCCUGGACAAAGACUGACGCUCAGGUGCGAAAGCGUGGGGAGCAAACAGGAUUAGAUACCCCAGUAGUCCCAUGAU
rnacentral:rRNA from 1 species